rnacentral:rRNA from 1 species
AGCGGCAGGCUUAACACAUGCAAGUCGAGGGCAGCACGGGUAGCAAUACCUGGUGGCGACCGGCGCAAGGUGCGUAACGCGUGAGCAACAUGCCCUAUACAGGGGGAUAAUCCAGGGAAACUUGGUCUAAUAUCCCAUAGUAUUUAGAGGAGGCAUCUUCUAUAAAUUAAAGCUUCGGUGGUAUAGGAUUGGCUCGCGUGACAUUAGCUAGAUGGUGAGGUAACGGCUCACCAUGGCAAUGAUGUCUAGGGGUUCUGAGAGGAAGGCCCCCCACACUGGGACUGAGACACGGCCCAGACUCCUACGGGAGGCAGCAGUGAGGAAUAUUGGACAAUGGAUGGAAAUCUGAUCCAGCCAUGCCGCGUGCAGGAUGACUGCCCUAUGGGUUGUAAACUGCUUUUAGCAGAGACGAAACGCCUUCAUUUAUGAGGGUCUGACGGUAUCUGCAGAAUAAGCACCGGCUAACUCCGUG